rnacentral:lncRNA from 1 species
CUUAUAAAUAUGUAUAUAUAUAUUUUUUUAUAUUUCUUUAUUUAGAUCUAUAUUUUGUAUUAUUUUAAAAGAUACAAUGCAAUCUUCGUUGAUGUUUACGUGUAGAGUGCUUUCUUUCACGUCCGCACUUCUAUCGAGUAUGGCGUGCCAAAUAAACAUUUUGAAAAGAUAAUUAUUACGGAUCAAUAACAUACAUUAUGUAUUCAGACGAUAUAAGACACCAUGUGACAAUUUUAAAAGAAACAGAGCUGCUUUUUUCUCACAUCUACCAUGGGGGAAAAAAAAAACCGACAAACCAAAUAUUUUUAAAUCAAUACGAAAGCCAGUAAAUAAUUUGAAUCCGUUUUCAAUAAUCAAGAUAUAUGUAACUUUAAUAUUAAUAUAAAUCUGAUACAGAAUUUAACAUGUUUAAAACGAUUUAAAAAUUAUGCAAGUAGUCAUAAAAAUUGCUCUGCAUAAUGAGUUUAAUAUCAUAUUGCACAGGAAGAGAAAAUAAAAGUACGACGUCGUGUGAGAAGGUAUGGCGUAUAUAUUUAAUGUCCAUUACAGUUAUUAACAACACCUUGUGCAAAUAUUAUUUUCGAAAAUAAAACAGUUUAAUAAAACAAACAAAACUAUCCAAUUUAUGAGGGUCAUGAAAAGGGG